UUCUUAGUCCAGGUAAAAUACUGUUGUCUGCAUAACCAUGUUUUGACAUUUGUCACCAUCACAGGAUGUGCAGACAUAAAAGUCAUUGAGGCAAGAAAACCAGCCGAUCAGUGCGAGUCGGGUCUCUCUUCGAGAGAUCAAAACUCAGCUUGUCAUCUUGGCUAAUAUUCAUUUACAGUAUGGACGAGGGAGAGCAUCAACAACAUGGAGGUGAAAAAAAUGGGUGUUUGGCAUGCUAGGUGUGAGGGAUAAAUGCAGACACCCAAUCUUGCGGCUUGUGAAAAGAAGAUCAAGACCUCACCUCAUCCCCAUAGUUGCAAAACGUGCAUCCAAGGAACUAACAUUAUUCCCGAUGAGUGGAGAGCCUACCGGACGGCUUCGGCCAAUAUGGGCUACAAACAUUUUACAGUGAACCAUUCCUAGUGGUUUGUAGACCCACACAGUGGAGCUCACUCACAACACAUGGAAAGAGCUUGGUUGACAUACAAAACAAGUGUAUGGAGACUAAGAGAGAAUAGGACAGAGAACAUGCUGAAACAUCAACUCUCUCUCAUAGAGUGGACUCGUUGGCUUGGUGAAAAAAAUUAACGGGGGACACUUGGGUGCCUAAUAAAAGAUAUUCACCAUCAAUUUCCUGUUAAGAGAACAACACACUGAACAUUUGAUUGUAAAAUACCUGUUAACUUGUCCCAUUGAUUUAAGGUGCACUGAUAUUUAAAAGCUUUGUUAAAUAAAAUGUGUAUUUUGCCUUUUUAA